rnacentral:sRNA from 1 species
GGGGUUGUCAAUAAUGUAAACUCUGAAGAAAAAAACACCAACAAAAAAUUAAAUUUCCCAAGAAUUGAGAAAGGGGAGUCACUCACACCCAGUGUAUGAGCAGGAUGAUGCAGAGAACAAAGAGAACUGUGGAGUGAAUAUGGAUGCAACAAUGACAUUUUAACCUGAUACUCAUACUGACAGCUCUAGGGAAGAACGGACAAAUUGCUAAAAAUAUACAACAUGUGGAAAUGACUCAAGAACUCCUCACCGUGGCUGGCCAAAACACAGUUCUAUGGCACUGCCAUAGCCCAAGGUUUUAAUGUAAGCGAAAAUUCAGACAGACAUGAGAACAAUGUACAAAACAAAGUGGUAAUAUGCUACAAGGCACGUGCCAUAUGUUUUCCUACAUGGUUUUUUUUCGGAUUGAAGUCUUCAAAAUUGGUUUGGAGUGCAUGGCGUGGAAAAGCCAUUUUCAUUUUCACUUCAACAUUACGGCAAGCAUUGUGGAGUAAAAAUGUGUGUUGACAGUUCAAUUUAAGUGGUUGGGGGAAGGGAGACAAACAUUUCAAGAAAUCAACAAUUUUGAUUGACAUUCUAAUGAAAUUUUAUUGAAGCAUAAAUCAAUUGUCAUAAAUCCCCAUGUAAGCCCAUGAUUACAUUCAUUCAGAGGAAAUCAUUAAAAACUAUGACAAAUAUUAAACAUUCAAGCGGCAUAAGAAGAUUUGAAGACCUAUCCAAUAGAAAAGCAAAAGGUGGGAUUAUUCAAAUAAGCAAAACUGAAAAGAACUGCGGUAUGAAUCCUUUGAACUUGCUCUCCUUAAACUCAUAGCCCAGCCAAUCCUUUGUGAGAUUUCAGGCGAAUCCUUUUUAUGAAAUAGAUUGUGGUGACUUUAGCCAAGGCGACUCAAACAACAACACCAUCAACUAUGGGUAAAGCAAUUUGCAACCACCCUUAUAAGAACACAAGAUACCCCCUUAUAUGUAUAAGACGGCUUUUACCUUUGCUGCAAAAUACAUAAAACAGAAAAUCCUUGAAA